AUUGGAACAAUUUUCUUAAACGAGUAAUUUUAUCUGAAUCCUCCGUGUAUUUUCAGAGCCAGAGUGUGUUAUUUAGUGGGGUUUGAAGCAAAAUUAUUUGAGUAACAAGUCCUCCAAUCCACCAUCAGCGAGACCGAACUCCUCCAGUCCAGCUACAGAUAAGCUGCUGACCCAUUUCAGAGGAGAAACAUUGGCCAUGACCCAAAAGGACCACUAAAUCCUCAACUUUUUCUUGACACUUCUGCGGUGAGAAAAAUUCCCUAACAAAAAAAACGGUCAUAUCCAGAGAUGGCUUCAGCUUGCUCCGGAUUGGGAUGGAGGAAGAAGAGAACGGCUGAAGAGAAAGGAGAUGAUAAAUAGCUGUGCCUCUCAUUUAGAGCCUCAAUAGCUUAUGCGUGCGAACACAUACGAAAUACAUUCAUUUCCUUUUCAUGUGCACACACGCAGUUAUGUGUUAUGUUGUUUAUAAAGUUUAAUUUUGUCUUUCUUUGGUUUAUAACGUUUUCAUUUAGUCCGUAUUCGGUUUCAUUUUUUCAAGUGUUAAGGUACUGUUCAUUUAAAGUCUAAAGGUUUCCGUUUUACAUAAAAAUAUGUUCAACACAAUGUGUUCACUUUAUUUUUAUUUGUAAAUAAAAAAUGUUUAUUGAAAAACAA